ensembl:lncRNA
CUUAUACAUCUCAUCAUCCUGAUGUUUUUAAUGUAAGGUGUGUGUGUGUGUGUGUGUUGAACAGUUGUGUAACCCUCAGUCUAUAGUAGUACAGAAGUGCGUGUUUUGAGGCAUACCCAUUGUAGUGUAUGUGUUGUGUUGUACAUGCCGGUUUGAGUCAGUUCCUGGGUUUCUCGGUUCCUCUCUCCAGUUCUUGUAGUAAACAACCCAGCCAUGUGGGCAGGAUGUGAGCUGUGAUUGGCUGAAAGGCGAUUCGUAAGACUCACACCCUAAAAUCCCGACUUGUUUACGCCAGACUGGUGGCCAGGGUUGCCAGAUUGUUCUCCCAAACCCGGCUUCUUCUUCUUUGUUUUUAAACUUCAUUCCUGGAAAUAAAAACGUGUUGUUAUACUCGGGUAUAUUUCUGGGAGCAUUUUUGCUUGAUUAUUUUUCACUCAAUACUCAGCAUUCAUGUGUCAGAGCUACAGUUUGUUGUGCAUUAAGGAGGAAUUUCAUUUCUAGACUGAGAGUCAAAAGAAAAUCCCAUGCAAUUUGGCAACCCUGCGUGCAGGAGGCAUUGGCCACAAUGGCAAAGAAGGUAUUUUUGCAGAGUAGAUCAUCUAAAAAAGGAAGAGAAAUCUCAAGAACAAAUGUAAAUUUCACAGCAUAAUGGCAGAAUAAUGUGCACGCAUUUUCACUCACAAGUGCAUGCUUUAGUAAUAGUAGUAGUGCCACAGAAGUCCAGGUGCAAUACCAAUGCCACAAUGCCAUGUUUGCACUUUAAUCAUUAAUCAAGUGCAUGAGAAUUCCACUUUGUUUGGAUGUUCAGAUGAGCUGCAGUGAGAUGUGCAGAGCAGCAUGCAUGCUUGCAGGGGCAACAGGGAAGUGAUUACAUAACUGCUCCAUAGCAUAGCUCAGUGUGGUUUCUAAUUACACACACACCAUAAAUCCUUAAUCCGUAAACACAAAUCCAGCAACUCCACCCUCGCGCUCUUCUUUUACUCUCUUUAAAAGAGACAGAGAGAUAAGUUGCACGAAAAGCAACCAUUUAAAAAAAUGUUAUAUAGAUGACAACCCAUAGCUUUUCAUCGGUUAUGUAGGUUACUGUAGUGCAGCCUGUAAAUGAGUGCUCGUGACGUCAUGCAUGCACGUAACGGAGUUGUGUGUUUGUUUGUUUGUUGCAUGCAUAUUUUUUUUCUCUCUCUUGGAUCGCACAAGUGAUGGUGUUCUUUUUUUUUUUUGGUUAACCCUGCUGUGUUCUUGCAUGCACGCGCACACCCAGUGGACGACUCUUACGUGCGCGCUGAUGAGUAACUGCUGUGCAGUUGCACUGCGAAUAAAAGAACGUGUACGUGCAGAACGUGCAGAAGAGCACAUGGCUCCGCGAGCUCGCGCUGCACGUCGCAUCACAAGCUCCACCUCCCCGCCCCCCUUCACCGUGAGCUCCGACUCUGGUAUGACUGGGUCACGCCUAAUUCCUGACAGAUUCCUUCAAGCUGACAAACUUGACCGUGCUGUCCUGGAAUGUUGCCGUAGUAAAGGAGCAGACGAAUGAAGAGCCCCAGAGCGAGAAGGACAACGAGACUCGUAGCCGAGACGCGUUCCACGGCGGCCCUCACCUCUGGCAGCUGGUACAGAGAGCGAGGAGCGUGAUGGCCAGGACGAUGAGGAUGACCGCGGAGAGGAGCGCCAUCCCCGGGAGGUUUGCCGCUUCCCACGCCUGUAGGUUGACGUAGAUGGCUGCCAUGAUCCUGAUUCUAAAGAAGUCUAGAAAGAAACCCGAGUGAUGUGUUAUGGGUGAUGAGUUACGGGCUGUAAAGGUGUAAAACUGUCUGUUUGAUGUGAAGGUUCUCACAGUGUCUGAUCAUGGCAAGAGGAAAUGACGUAUAUUCACCGAAGGAUAUUAUUUUGUUUUCACAGUAACGCUUGGGCAGAAAACAUCUGCAUCCACAAUGAACACGUUACACCUAUAUAUUUAAUAGCUUAUUUAAUUCAUCAAUGCAUGUUUAUGUGAUGGAGCUGGAGACUAAUCCCAGGAAUACUGGGAUCGCGUUG